GGUGAGCUGUAGCUUAGUGGUAGAGCACCAGCCUUGCAUGCAGAAGUCCCGGGUGCAAUCCCCAGCAUCUCCA